GGUCCCGUGGCUCAGCCUGGUACUUCGCGUUCGGAAGAACGUGUGUGGACAAUUAGAGCGCUCGACUGAUAAUCGAGAGGUCAGGGGUUCAAAUCCCCUCGGGACCA
rnacentral:tRNA from 1 species